rnacentral:misc_RNA from 1 species
AACGCACAUUGCACCCUCUUUCGGGAGGGUAUGCUUGUUUGAGAAUCUAUAGUAUUUCUAUUUACUUAUAUACCUUUAUUUCGGUAAAGAACAUAGGUAAAUAAUUUGAGGCUUCCAAAGGUUUUCUUUUGGUACUUUUAAAACUAUGAUUCCAGUCAUAUAUUUAAAGUAAAGGUAAAACUUUACUGAUGUAAUUAAUUUGACUUGGUACGUAUUCGAAAAACUUCGGUUUACUUAUGCGCGUACUUGACUGAUGAAAGCAUUGAAAUAUUUAUUUAAAGGGUAAAAUCUUUGAAGAAGAUUGGGAGAUAUUCGAAUUUGAAAAGUCCUUAGGGAUCGAGUAAAUUUCAACCGAGGUAUCGUCUUAAGGUCAUCUUUUAUUAGGGACUUUAUGAUAUCUGAACCAUGGUCUCAAAUCAAGUAGGAAUACCCGCUGAACUUAA